rnacentral:rRNA from 1 species
CACGUAGGGACCAAGCGUUGUCCGGAUUCAUUGGGCGUAAAGAGCUCGUAGGCGGCUCAGUAAGUCAGGUGUGAAAACUCCAGGCUCAACCUGGAGACGCCACCUGAUACUGCUGUGGCUAGAGUCCGGUAGGGGAGCAUGGAAUUCCUGGUGUAGCGGUGAAAUGCGCAGAUAUCAGGAGGAACACCAGUGGCGAAGGCGGUGCUCUGGGCCGGAACUGACGCUGAGGAGCGAAAGCGUGGGUAGCAAACAGG